CCCGCGUCCAGACUUGUGGAAUCUCCACUUGUGGUCCCUGGACGGGACGCGGAGGUUCUAGGUGGGCUACCUCCAGCGGUAGUAAACACCAUCACUUCACCUAGAGCCCCGUCUACCAGAAACGCUUACAGGCUGAAGUGGAACCUGUUCGUCGAUUGGCGCUCUUCCCGCCGGGAAGACCCCCGUAGAUGCCCGAUCGGAGUCGUGCUUUCUUUCCUGCAGGAUGGGUUGGAGCGAAGGCUGUCUCCCUCCACCCUUAAGUGUAUGUUGCCGCCAUUGCCGUGCAUCACGAUGCAGUAGAUGGUAAGUCUUUGGGGAAGCACGACUUGGUCAUCAGGUUUCUCAGAGGGGCAAGGAGGUUAAAUCCUCCGCGCCCUCACCUGUUACCCUCUUGGGAUCUCCCCUCGGUCCUAACGGCCUUGAAGGAGGAGCCCUUCGAGCCUCUGCAGUCAGUAGAGCUUAAGUUUCUGUCAUU